AGAGAACAAACUGAGGGUUUGCUGCAGGAUUUGUGGGAAGGGGGAUGGGCUAAAUGGGUGAGGGGCAUUAGGGAGGAUGCUUGUUGGGAUGAGGAUUGGGUAUUAUAUAUAGAGGAUGAAUCACUGGAAUCUACUCCUGAAAUCAUCGUUGCACUAUAUGCUAACUAACUUGGAUGUAAAUUUAAAAAACAAAAUGAAUUUU